CAGAGUAGGAGCUCAUGCGUUAAGUGCCGCGGGGACGGGGAGUUGCCCUUCGGACGAAAACAUCUGUUGCGGUUUGAGUUCCGCAUCCCGCUG
rnacentral:ncRNA from 1 species